AGAGCAUUCAUGAACCUUCUUCUUUCUUUUUUCAAAAAACUAAUUUUUUUAAAAAAACUAAACCCUUAUCAGCUUUAGACAUUAAAAAUAAAUAAAUAAAAAACCUUACUAACGUCUCCCAUUUUCCCAGCCGCACACAAUUAUCUCUCUCUGUUUUUUUCUCCAUAUCUUCUUUCUACCUCUUUACCCAUGGCCGCUCUCUCAGCUUCUUCUUCCUCUUAUCAUCUUUGCCCAUAUACUGAUUUCAUCAAAAUCCAACAAUGUGUAACCGAAGCUUCUGUAUUCGGUCCCUCGAUCGAUUCAUCUAGAUGUCACAUAGAAGCCAUGAAUCAAAAAGAGAGUCCGACGGUCUUCCCUCCUUCUCAGAACCGAAGCAAGGGCUACCUCGUCAAUUUUAGGUUUUGGCCAAUUGUGGAUUGAUUAAAGCAAGAUUCUCUGUAGUCUGAAUAAAAGAAAAAGCUUUCACAGAAGCAUUGCUGCCUUGACUCAACCUCAGAAUGAAUGGAGUAUACCAUUUGAGCUUGAGGUUAGUAACCAGAGCUAUUAUGUUAACUCCCAACAGGAUGUUAAAUGAUAGUCAGUUGUUUAUAGCACUUGUUUAUCAAUGAUCUGAAUGUGUUUCUUGGGUUGAUUAGGUGUUAUCUGGGAAAAGAAGAGAUGGUGAAAUUUAGAGCAACAUGGGUUAUAUCAAGAAGAAACUCGUACUUAGUUCAGGUGAUGUUGUGCUGUAAAAGAAAAUGUAUAUGUUUGUGGUAUAAGACAAUUGUGUAUUCAUUUUGAAUACUUUUGACUGUUGUAUAAAAAAUAAUGUAUUCAUCUGUGA